UUAUGGGGAGACAAUGAAGUAUAUUCUGUAUUUGGGCACUUGGGAUAUAUGGAGUCAGUAGUGCAACCGGUCUC
rnacentral:ncRNA from 1 species